UACGUAGGGUGCAAGCGUUAAUCGGAAUUACUGGGCGUAAAGCGUGCGCAGGCGGUUUUGUAAGUCUGACGUGAAAUCCCCGGGCUCAACCUGGGAAUUGCGUUGGAGACUGCAAGGCUAGAAUCUGGCAGAGGGGGGUAGAAUUCCACGUGUAGCAGUGAAAUGCGUAGAGAUGUGGAGGAACGACCGAUGGCGAAGGCAGCCCCCUGGGUCAAGAUUGACGCUCAUGCACGAA
rnacentral:rRNA from 1 species